UGGAUUAAUUUUAAUGGAAAUGGGAUUGAUGCGUGAGACCCCAAAUAGUUCUGUUUGUAAAAUAUAAUAUGGUUAAAUAUUGUUAAUUCGGCUUUAACAUUUUUUGCGGUGGUUAAACUCAAAAGAUUAAGAGAGUUAAAUGUGUUAGAACUGGAGUAGUCCUAAAAUGUAUGACUUUUUAAAAAAAUUAGGGCAUCACAGUUGGUAUCAGAGUUAAUCACUAAUCGAAAGUGUGAUAUGAGUCUCGGCGGAGCCAGAUUAUACAGUGAGGAGAGCGAGACUCUCAUUCUAAUAACUAUUGUGGGUAGAAUGUGACUCUCUCAUAAAGAUCGAUUAAGGCUAAACAUCAUCUGGUAUUUGUGAAUUUGAGCCAGACGAAAAUAUCAGGACUAAAAGUAAGAAGAAUGUGAGACCCCGAAUAGUUUUAUAUAAGAUAUAAUAGAGUUAAAAUUUUUAGCACGAUUAAUUAUAGCAUUUUGGACGGUAUUUGAGCUCAAAAGGCUAAUAGAGUUAAGUGCACAUGUUAGGGUUAGAGUACAGUUCCAUGAUGGGUGACCCCCGGAAAAUUUGGGGCGUCACAUGAUGCUUUUCUUAAUUGCAAUUCUCUGGAAUUGCAUUGGAGCUUAGGAUGAUCUGUUCGAGUAACUCCUGCUUCUACUUCUCCCAACCACAAUCUCAACAUAAGUAUUAUUAUUUUUAUUAUUAUUAUUAUGAACAUUAAAAAGCAAAAAUUUUAAUGCAACUGUUUUAUUCCAUAUAGAAAGAAUAUAUUAAUUGGAUACACUUUAAUAUAGCAAGCUUUUUCUAAUAAUCGUAUUGUGAUAAUAUUUUAUCAAAUAAUACUGCAAAAAUUUUAUCCUACUACGUACGUACCAAGCCAUUGAAUUUCCAACCUAAAAGUUAGGUGAGCUUCAUGGGAAGAUAAGAAGAGUACUGGCUUGUAGUGUGUUGGCCGGAAAUGUGCAUUGAAUGAGUUGAUUCCCCAAGAAUCAUCUAUGUUUGGUUUAGAAUUAGACUCUUGAGUAUGCAUUGCCUUGAGUAACUCUCCUAGCUUGUCUUUUUCCAACAAUCAAAGCCCUAAUUACCGGGCAAAAAAGCAUGUCUUCAAUCUAACCCUUUCACAUGCAUGCAUCUAUCUAUUGUUGGAGUCUACUAUUCACCUUUUUUUUUAACUAACUCUUGACUAAUCCACACAGAAGAUUCCAAAUCCUUCCAAAUUACUACGACAAUAAUGCGACAAAAAUAACUAUUAGCUACGAAUUUAAGCAAACUCCCUGUGGAACACAAAUUUUUGUAUAAAACUACCACAUUGUUGACGCUAUCAGACCUUUGUAGUAACAUAGCAGUGAGUGUGUUUUCUUUUGUUGAACUCUAAGACGGAAGUGUGGUUUGCGGUAAAAUCAGAAGAAUCGUUAAUUAUUUUGAACCGCACAGUUGAAGUCUUCACUUCACUCUGACCAGAGUAUGGUCUAUUUUACAAUCACAGAGUCUCUGCAUGAACGCAAGCCACCGUGUCGGGUCGCCUUUCGAGUGAUGUGGAGUUCACGUAACUCACCAGAAUUUUGAGGUUAUACUAGCUAGAAAUUAAUGACUCCUAGCUUGUAAGCUAAAACAAACAAGAAAAUUGUUUAUUAGUCAACAAACCUUGUCAACAUAGAAGGUCUAUUUGGUCCAAUUAGUUAAUAAACUCAAAAAUUACUUACUAAAAGCUCUUGCCAAAGUACGUGCUAUAUAUUGUUCCCGAAACUCGAACUCCUGCUAUGAUACAAAAUAAUUAUUAUUUUUCUAAAAACUCAAGCUAUUAGAAAACAACGCUUUAAUUAAUUUUUAUAUUCAAUACCACAAAUGGUAUAUAUCCUAACUCUUUUUGCUUCCUAUCAUCGUAGAUAUUUGAUUUUUU
rnacentral:lncRNA from 1 species